AGAAUCGUGUGUGACCCGGGGCACAACUCAGUGCAUUGAUCAAUGCAUAAUGAAGCCUACCGAAAAUGUGGACUGAGUAACAAGCAGUAGCAGAGAUGGAAACUGUAGCUAAACUUAAGAGACAUAAUAAGAAAUGGGGCAAAGAAAACCCUGGACUAACUCUGAGGGAUUGACCUUGAGGUGCUGUUUCUUCUGGCAGUAAAACAUGGGCUUGAGUGGAGCUUGGCUUGCAUUUGAACUCUGUCCCAAAUCUGUAUUACAAUUGCAUGUGAGUGCUCUUCCAUAGUUGCCCCAGCACAGCUGAUGUCUUACUUUAUGCUUUCUGACAUAUUCAAAUACUGCUUUAGCAUUUUUCACUU